rnacentral:rRNA from 1 species
GACGAACGCUGGCGGCGUGCCUAACACAUGCAAGUCGAGCGGGGGGAGUUCUUCGGAACAAACCUAGCGGCGGACGGGUGAGUAACACGUGGGUAACCUGCCUCAAAGUGGGGGAUAGCCUUUCGAAAGGAAGAUUAAUACCGCAUAACCCAUAGCUUCCGCAUGGAAGCAAUGGUAAAGAUUUAUCGCUUUGAGAUGGACCCGCGGCGCAUUAGCUAGUUGGUGAGGUAACGGCUCACCAAGGCCACGAUGCGUAGCCGACCUGAGAGGGUGAUCGGCCACAUUGGAACUGAGACACGGUCCAGACUCCUACGGGAGGCAGCAGUGGGGAAUAUUGCACAAUGGGCGAAAGCCUGAUGCAGCAACGCCGCGUGAGUGAUGAAGGCCUUCGGGUUGUAAAGCUCUGUCUUUUGGGACGAUAAUGACGGUACCAAAGGAGGAAGCCACGGCUAACUACGUGCCAGCAGCCGCCGCCGUAA